rnacentral:rRNA from 1 species
UACGUAGGGGGCUAGCGUUGUCCGGAAUCAUUGGGCGUAAAGCGCGUGUAGGCGGCCCGAUAAGUCCGCUGUGAAAGUCCAGGGCUCAACCCUGGGAUGCCGGUGGAUACUGUCGGGCUCGAGUCCGGAAGAGGCGAGUGGAAUUCCUGGUGUAGCGGUGAAAUGCGCAGAUAUCAGGAGGAACACCAAUAGCGAAGGCAGCUCGCUGGGACGUUAACUGGACACUGAGGCGCGAAAGCGUGGGGAGCGAACAGG